rnacentral:rRNA from 1 species
GUGGAUUAGAUACCCUGGUAGUCCACGCCCUAAACGAUGUCUACUAGUUGUUGGGGUAGCAAUACCUUAGUAACGCAGCUAACGCGUGAAGUAGACCGCCUGGGGAGUACGGUCGCAAGAUUAAAACUCAAAGGAAUUGACGGGGGCCCGCACAAGCGGUGGAUGAUGUGGAUUAAUUCGAUGCAACGCGAAAAACCUUACCUACCCUUGACAUGUAACGAACCCAGCAGAGACGUUGGGGUGCCCGAAAGGGAGCGUUAACACAGGUGCUGCACGGCCGUCGACAACU